GAAAGCAUCUAAGCGGGAAGCCAACUCCAAGAUGAACUCUCCCUGAAGUUCCCUUGAAGACUACAAGGUUAAUAGGCUAGGUGUGUAAGAGAAGUAAUUCUUUCAGCUGACUAGUACUAAUAGAACGUUCGUCUUUUUUAU
rnacentral:rRNA from 1 species